rnacentral:rRNA from 1 species
GAUGAACGCUAGCUACAGGCCUAACACAUGCAAGUCGAGGGGUAACGAGAGGAAAGCUUGCUUUCCUUGUCGACGACCGGCGCACGGGUGAGUAACGCGUAUCCAACCUGCCCCCAACUAGGGAAUAACCUUGCGAAGGUAAGACUAAUACCCUAUAAUUUCCUCAGAUGUCAUCUGACGAGGAAUAAAGAUUUAUCGGUUGUGGAUGGGGAUGCGUCUGAUUAGCUUGUUGGCGGGGUAACGGCCCACCAAGGCAACGAUCAGUAGGGGUUCUGAGAGGAAGGUCCCCCACAUUGGAACUGAGACACGGUCCAAACUCCUACGGGAGGCAGCAGUGAGGAAUAUUGGUCAAUGGGCGGAAGCCUGAACCAGCCAAGUAGCGUGCAGGAUGACGGCCCUAUGGGUUGUAAACUGCUUUUAUACAGGAAUAAAGUUAGCCACGUGUGGUUAUUUGUAGGUACUGUAUGAAUAAGGACCGGCUAAUUCCGUGCCAGCCGCCGCUGUAA